rnacentral:rRNA from 1 species
AGUGAACGCUGGCGGUAGGCCUAACACAUGCAAGUCGAACGGCAGCACAGUAAGAGCUUGCUCUUACGGGUGGCGAGUGGCGGACGGGUGAGGAAUACAUCGGAAUCUACUUUUUCGUGGGGGAUAACGUAGGGAAACUUACGCUAAUACCGCAUACGACCUACGGGUGAAAGCAGGGGAUCUUCGGACCUUGCGCGAUUGAAUGAGCCGAUGUCGGAUUAGCUAGUUGGCGGGGUAAAGGCCCACCAAGUCGACGAUCCGUAGCUGGUCUGAGAGGAUGGUCAGCCACACUGGAACUGAGACACGGUCCAGACUCCUACGGGAGGCAGCAGUGGGGAAUAUUGGACAAAGGGCGCGAGCCUGAUCCAGCCAUACCGAGUGGGUGAAGAAGGCCUUCGGGUUGUAAAGCCCUUUUGUUGGGAAAGAAAAGCAGCAGGUUAAUACCCCGCUGUUCUGACGGUACCCAAAGAAUAAGCACCGGCUAACUUCGUG